rnacentral:rRNA from 1 species
AGGGUUCGAUUCUGGCUCAGACGAACGCUGGCGGCAUGCCUAACACAUGCAAGUCGAACGAGACCUUCGGGUCUAGUGGCGCACGGGUGCGUAACGCGUGGGAAUCUGCCCUUGGGUUCGGAAUAACAGUGAGAAAUUACUGCUAAUACCGGAUGAUGUCUUCGGACCAAAGAUUUAUCGCCCAGGGAUGAGCCCGCGUAGGAUUAGCUAGUUGGUGGGGUAAUGGCCUACCAAGGCGACGAUCCUUAGCUGGUCUGAGAGGAUGAUCAGCCACACUGGGACUGAGACACGGCCCAGACUCCUACGGGAGGCAGCAGUGGGGAAUAUUGGACAAUGGGCGAAAGCCUGAUCCAGCCAAUGCCGCGUGAGUGAUGAAGGCCUUAGGGUUGUAAAGCUCUUUUACCAGGGAUGAUAAUGACAGUACCUGGAGAAUAAGCUCCGGCUAACUCCGUGCCAGCCGCCGC